GACGAACGCUGGCGGCGUGCUUAACACAUGCAAGUCGAACGGAAAGGCCCUGCUUUUGUGGGGUGCUAGAGUGGCGAACGGGUGAGUAACACGUGAGUAACCUGGCCUUGACUUUGGGAUAACUUCAGGAAACUGGGGCUAAUACCGGAUAGGAGCUCCUGCUGCAUGGUGGGGGUUGGAAAGUUUCGGCGGUGGGGGAUGGAUUCGCGGCUAAUCAGCUUGUUGGUGGGGUAGUGGCUUACCAAGGCUUUGACGGGUAGCCGGCAUGAGAGGGUGACCAGCCACAUGGGGACUGAGGUACGGACCAGACUCGUACGGUAGGCAGUGGUGGGGAGUAUUGCACAGUGGUCGGGAGCCUGAUGCAGCAGCGCCGCGUGCGGGAUGACGGCCUUCGGGUUGUAAACCGCUUUCGCCUGAGACGAAGCGUGAGUGACGGUAAUGGGUGAAGAAGCACCGGCUAACUACGUG
rnacentral:rRNA from 1 species